UACAGAGGUCUCAAGCGUUGUUCGGAUUCAUUGGGCGUAAAGGGUGCGUAGGCGGUCGUGCAAGUCGGAUGUGAAAUCUCAGGGCUCAACCCUGAAACUGCAUUCGAUACUGCGUGGCUAGAGUGCUGGAGAGGAGACUGGAAUUUACGGUGUAGCAGUGAAAUGCGUAGAUAUCGUAAGGAAGACCAGUGGCGAAGGCGAGUCUCUGGACAGCAACUGACGCUGAGGCACGAAGGCCAGGGGAGCAAACGGG
rnacentral:rRNA from 1 species